GAUGAACGCUGGCGGCGCGCCUAACACAUGCAAGUCGAACGGAGUUAUCUUAUUAGAUCCCUUCGGGGUGAAGAUUUUUUAACUUAGUGGCGAACGGGUGAGUAACGCGUGAGUAACCUGCCUUCAAGAGGGGGACAACAGUUGGAAACGACUGCUAAUACCGCAUAACACUUUAGUACCGCAUGGUACAGAAGUCAAAGCUUUAUGUGCUGAGAGAUGGUCUCGCGUCUGAUUAGCUAGAUGGCGGGGUAACGGCCCACCAUGGCGACGAUCAGUAGCCGGUCUGAGAGGAUGAACGGCCACAUUGGGACUGAGAUACGGCCCAGACUCCUACGGGAGGCAGCAGUGGGGAAUAUUGCGCAAUGGGGGCAACCCUGACGCAGCAACGCCGCGUGAAGGAAGAAGGGUCUUCGGAUUGUAAACUUUUGUCUUUAGGGAAGAUAAUGACGGUACCUAAGGAGGAAGCUCCGGCUAACUACGUG
rnacentral:rRNA from 1 species